UGGGGAAUUUUGGACAAUGGGCGCAAGCCUGAUCCAGCCAUGCCGCGUGAGUGAUGAAGGCCUUAGGGUUGUAAUGCUCUUUUGGCGGGGACGAUAAUGACGGUACCCGCAGAAUAAGCCCCGGCUAACUUCGUGCCAGCAGCCGCGGUAAUACGAAGGGGGCUAGCGUUGUUCGGAAUUACUGGGCGUAAAGCGCACGUAGGCGGAUCAGCAAGUCAGGGGUGAAAUCCCGGGGCUCAACCUCGGAACUGCCUCUGAUACUGCUGGUCUGGAGUCCGGAAGAGGUGGGUGGAAUUCCUAGUGUAGAGGUGAAAUUCGCAGAUAUUAGGAAGAACACCGGUGGCGAAGGCGGCCCACUGGUCCGGUACUGACGCUGAGGUGCGAAAGCGUGGGGAGCAAACAGGAUUAGAUACCCAAGUAGUCCCUGAGCGGGCUGGCAAGGCGCAU
rnacentral:rRNA from 1 species